GCACCAUCUUAACUUCUGGCUUAAACUAUUGUAGCAGUGGUUUAACACUUCAGUUGAAGAUCUGAUUUCCCACACUGCUUAUCCCUAGUUUCCUUUCUCUCUGUCACCACUUUGAUAGGAAGGUUUAGCCAUUGGAUGCUGAUAGACUGAGAACUUAAGUAUUAAACAGUUAAGAUGGCCGUGUCCAGAGAAGGUAAGAUGGCCGUGUCAGUG